CAAAGUUGGACUCUUAACCGACUGAACCACCCAGGCGCCCCUUGGAAAAAGAUUUUUAAAACCAAACACAAUCUGUUCCAAGAUGUACAGUGCUUAGAAAUUGUCACUCCACAUGUCACACGACUGGAAAUCUCUUCUUAGAUCCGGUAGUGAAGGGCGGUCACAGCGCAAACUGCAGCCGGAAACCUGGAGAGGCGAACAAAUGUAGAGAAUCAGCGCGCAGGCAGUAGGAGUCUGGGGAACCAUACGAAAAGUUAAACUGCACGUGACUCCUGCCGUUUCUGAGUUGUAUCCUUUACAAUAACCCAGCAAUGAUCAGAGUACUGUGGCUUCAGUCCUUCUCAGUUUGGUAGUUGCGGGCAGGUGGAGAUUACAGAACUCCCUACUUCUCCGCCAUCUUGCCUACAGCUAACACUGUAAACACCUUUUGUAUCCUCCCAUGAUUGGGAGCAAGAGUGGGUGCACCAUUUUGCAUUCCUGCUGGCAGUGAAUGAAUGCUCCGUGUCCUUGUCAGCAGUG